rnacentral:rRNA from 1 species
UUGCGGUUAAAAAGCUCGUAGUUGGAUUUCUGUCGGUGAGGUUCAGUCCGCCCAAGUGGUUGGUACGUGAUCCGCCACCGGCAUCUUCCUGGGGAAUGUGUCUGCUCUUAAUUGGGUGGUACAUAAGCCAGGACUUUUACUUUGAAGAAAUGAGAGUGUUUCAAGCAGGCAUGCGCCGUGAAUACGUUAGCAUGGGAUAAUAGCAUCGGACCUCGUUCCAAAGCUGUUGGCUUCUUGGACCGAGGUAAAGGUGAAUAGGGAUUGUUGGGGGCAUUCGUAUUUGACUGUCAGAGGUGAAAUUCUUGGAUUUGUUGAAGACGGACUACUGCGAAAGCAUCUGCCAAAGAUGUUCUCAUUGAUCAAGAACGAAAGUUAGGUGAUCGAAGACGAUCAGAUACCGUCCUAGUCUUAACCAUAAACUAUGCCGACUGGAGAUCGGGGGUCGUUAAUUAUGUGACGCCCUCUGCAUCUUGAGAGAAACCAAAGUCUUUGGGUUCCGGGGGGAGUAUGGUCGCAAAGGCUGAAACUUAAAGGAAUUGACGGAAGGGCACCACCCAGGAGGUGGA